AGAGUUUGAUCAUGGCUCAGAUUGAACGCUGGCGGCAGGCCUAACACAUGCAAGUCGAGCGGUAACAGGGAGUGCUUGCACUCUGCUGACGAGCGGCGGACGGGUGAGUAACGCGUAGGAAUUUGCCCAGUAGUGGGGGAUAGCCCGGAGAAAUCCGGAUUAAUACCGCAUACGCCCUACGGGGGAAAGCAGGGGAUCUUCGGACCUUGCGCUAUUGGAUAAGCCUGCGUUGGAUUAGCUAGUUGGUGGGGUAAAGGCCUACCAAGGCGACGAUCCAUAGCUGGUCUGAGAGGAUGAUCAGCCACACUGGGACUGAGACACGGCCCAGACUCCUACGGGAGGCAGCAGUGGGGAAUAUUGGACAAUGGGCGAAAGCCUGAUCCAGCCAUGCCGCGUGUGUGAAGAAGGCUUUCGGGUUGUAAAGCACUUUCAGUGGGGAGGAAAGGUUGACGGUUAAUACCCGUUAGCUGUGACGUUACCCACAGAAGAAGCACCGGCUAACUCCGUGCCAGCAGCCGCGGUAAU
rnacentral:rRNA from 1 species